GCUUGGCCCUAAACAUAGAUAAUACAAACACAAUAUUAUCCGCCAGAGAACUACAAGCGAAAAGCUCAAAACUCCAAGGACUUGGCGGUGCUUCAAACCAACCUAGAGGAGCCUGUCCUAUAAUCGAUACCCCACGUUCUACCUUUCCCCCCCUUCAGCCUAUAUACCGCCGUCGCCUACCUUGUGAAAGAAACAAAGUAGACAAAACAAUUAACAACUAACACGUCAGGUCAAGGUGUAGCACAUGGGGCGGCAGAGAUGGGCUCACGAACGGCACACUGAAACAUGUACCCAAAGGUGGAUUUAGUAGUAAGAUAGACAAGAGAAGCUAUCUUAAACCAGCUCUGAAGCGCGC
rnacentral:rRNA from 1 species